rnacentral:miRNA from 1 species
ACCUUUUAAUGUACUACUUAUG